rnacentral:rRNA from 1 species
CCUACGGGUGGCUGCAGUGGGGAAUAUUGGACAAUGGGCGAAAGCCUGAUCCAGCCAUGCCGCGUGUGUGAAGAAGGCCUUCGGGUUGUAAAGCACUUUCAGUGGGGAAGAAAGCCUUGGGGCUAAUACCCUCGAGGAAGGACAUCACCCACAGAAGAAGCACCGGCUAACUCCGUGCCAGCAGCCGCGGUAAUACGGAGGGUGCGAGCGUUAAUCGGAAUUACUGGGCGUAAAGCGCGCGUAGGCGGUCUGAUAAGCCGGUUGUGAAAGCCCCGGGCUCAACCUGGGAACGGCAUCCGGAACUGUCAGGCUAGAGUGCAGGAGAGGAAGGUAGAAUUCCCGGUGUAGCGGUGAAAUGCGUAGAGAUCGGGAGGAAUACCAGUGGCGAAGGCGGCCUUCUGGACUGACACUGACGCUGAGGUGCGAAAGCGUGGGUAGCAAACAGGAUUAGAUACCUAGUAGUC